AUGCUACUGUUACUACUGUUACUACUACUGUUACUUCUACUACUGCUGCUACUAAUACUACUGUUACUACUGUUACUACUACUACUGCUGCUACUAAUACUACUGUUACUACUACUACUGCUGCUACUAAUACUACUGUUACUACUGUUACUACUACUACUGCUGCUACUAAUACGACUGUUACUACUACUGCUGCUACUAAUACUACUGCUACUACUGCUACUACUACUGCUACUACUACUGCUACAACUACAACUGCUACAACUACGACUACUACUGCUACUACUACUUCUACUACUACUGCUACUGCUACUACAACUACUACUACCGUUGCUACAACUACAACUACUGCUGCUGCUACUAAUACUACUGUUACUUCUGUUACUACUACUGUUACUACUACUACUGCUGCUACUAAUACUACUGUUACUACUACUACUGCUGCUACUAAUACUGCUGUUACUACUACUGAUACUGCUACUACUACUACCGCUGCUACAACUACUACUGCUGCUACUACUACUGCUGCUUCUACUGCAACUGUUACUACUACUGUUACUAAUACUGCUACUGUUACUACUACUGCUGCUACUAAUACUGCUACUGUUACUACUACUGCUACUACUACUACUGCUACUGUUACUACUACUGCUGCUACUAAUACUGCUACUGUUACUACUACUGCUGCUACUAAUACUGCUACUGUUACCACUACUCCUGCUACUAAUACUACUGGUACUACUGUUACUACUACUGCUGCUACUAAUACUACUGCUACUGCUACUGUUACUACUACUGCUGCUACUAAUACUACUGUUACUACUGUUACUACUACUACUGCUGCUACUAAUACUGCUACUGUUACUACUACUGUUACUACUACUGCUGCUUCUACUGCUACUGUUACUACUACUGCUACUACUAAUACUACUGGUACUACUGUUACUACUACUACUGCUGCUACUANCUACUAAUACUACUGGUACUACUGUUACUACUACUACUGCUGCUACUAAUACUACUGUUACUACUGUUACUACUACUGUUACUACUACUGCUGCUACUAAUACUACUGUUACUACUACUGCUGCUACUGAUACUUUUGUUACUACUACUGCUGCUACUACUACUACUGUUACUACUACUGCUGCUACUAAUACUACUGGUACUACUGUUACUACUACUACUGCUGCUACUAAUACUACUGUUACUACUACUGCUGCUACUAAUACUACUGUUACUACUGUUACUGCUACGGUUACUACUACUACUGCUACUAAUACUACUGUUACUACUGUUACUACUACUACUGCUGCUACUAAUGCUACUACUACUACUGUUACUACUGUUACUACUACUGUUACUACUAAUACUACUACUGCUACUACUGCUGCUGCUACUAAUACUACUACUGCUGCUACUAAUACUACUACUGCUGCUACUACUACUGAUGCUACUACUACUGCUGCUACUAAUACUACUACUACUGCUGCUACUACUACUGUUACUACUACUGCUACAACUACUACUACUGUUACUACUGUUACUACUGCUGCUACUACUACUACUGCUGCUACUAAUACUACUGUUACUACUACUACUGCUGCUACUAAUACUACGGUUACUACUACUGCUGCUACUAAUACUACUGGUACUACUGUUACUACUACUACUGCUGCUACUAAUACUGCUGUUACUACUAAUACUACUGUUACUACUGUUACUGCUACUACUGCUGCUACUAAUGCUACUACUACUACUGUUACUACUGUUACUACUACUGUUACUACUACUGCUGCUACUAAUACUACUACUGCUACUACUGCUGCUGCUACUAAUACUACUACUGUUGCUACUAAUGCUACUACUACUACUGUUACUACUGUUACUACUACUGUUACUACUACUACUACUACUACUACUACUGCUACUAAACUCAGCAAAAAAAGAAACGCCCCUUUUUCAGGACCCUGUCUUUCAAAGAUAAUUCGUAUAAAUCCAAAUAACUUCCCAGAUCUUCAUUGUGAAGAGUUUAAACACUGUUUCCCAUGCUUGAACAAUGAACCAUAA
ensembl:lncRNA